rnacentral:sRNA from 1 species
CUGUGAUAAUAAGGCCUUUGGUUGUACUGCUUUAGUCAAGCUAGAUGUCCUGGCGUCACAUUUACAAGAUUGUGAAUUUAACCCCAAAAAGCCAGUAGUUUGUGAAAAAGGGUGUGGCUUUGUCGUACCCAAGGAUGAAAUAAAAGAUCAUAACUGUGUG